rnacentral:misc_RNA from 1 species
GAACGCACAUUGCGCCCAUUAGUAUUCUAGUGGGCAUGCCUGUUCGAGCGUCAUUUCAACCCUUAAGCCUAGCUUAGUGUUGGGAGACUGCCUAAUACGCAGCUCCUCAAAACCAGUGGCAGAGUUUUUACGUACUCUGAGCGCAGUAAUUCUAUUCUCGCUUUUGAACACGUCUAGACGAUAGCCAAAAACCGCUUGCUUCGGCAGCACUUUUUUAAUGGUUGACCUCGGAUCAGGUAGGAAUACCCGCUGAACUUAAG